rnacentral:rRNA from 2 species
ACGGUGGCCGCAGAGAAUAGGCCCAAGCGACUGUUUACCAAAAACAUAGGUUUCUGCUAAGUCGCAAGACGAUGUAUAGGAGCUGACGCCUGCCCGGUGCUGGAAGGUUAAGGGGAUCUGUUAGAGUAAUCGAAGCAGUGAACUUAAGCCCCAGUAAACGGCGGCCGUAACUAUAACGGUCCUAAGGUAGCGAAAUUCCUUGUCGGGUAAGUUCCGACCCGCACGAAAGGCGUAACGAUUUGGGCACUGUCUCA